GCGGCUGAUAUCUGAUUAGCUAGUUGGUGAGGUAAAGGCUCACCAAGGCGACGAUCAGUAGCUGGUCUGAGAGGACGACCAGCCACACUGGAACUGAGACACGGUCCAGACUCCUACGGGAGGCAGCAGUGGGGAAUUUUGGACAAUGGGCGCAAGCCUGAUCCAGCCAUUCCGCGUGAGUGAAGAAGGCCUUCGGGUUGUAAAGCUCUUUCGCAAGGGAAGAAAACUUACCUUUUAAUAAAGGGUGAGGUUGACGGUACCUUGAUAAGAAGCACCGGCUAACUACGUGCCAGCAGCCGCGGUAAUACGUAGGGUGCGAGCGUUAAUCGGAAUUACUGGGCGUAAAGCGUGCGCAGGCGGUUUUGUAAGUCAGAUGUGAAAUCCCCGAGCUCAACUUGGGAACUGCGUUUGAAACUACAAGACUAGAAUAUGUCAGAGGGGGGUAGAAUUCCACGUGUAGCAGUGAAAUGCGUAGAGAUGUGGAGGAAUACCAAUGGCGAAGCAGCCCC
rnacentral:rRNA from 1 species